UAUUUAAAUACGUUUCAACAUCGGUAUUUGUAUUUAUGAUACUUUCCCAAAUUUACUAAAAUUUGUGAUUUUUUAUAUCUAAUUGUUUUAUUUAAGUCAAGAAUAGCCACAGUUAGGUAUUACCUACAGAUCACUCCUUAUAGUACUUAAUAACUUUUUCGUUUCAUUUUUAAAUACAUCUACAAAAAAGGUACUAGGUACAUAGAGGUAUUUGAUUCAUUCAUGCCUUACAAUGUGAAUUUUUAAAGUGGUUAAUACAGCAAAACUUUAUUAUUUAUAUGCCCAUUUCGCCGAUCCAAGUUCAUAUAGAGGCAACCCAAAAUACACGGCACAAAGUAGUGGGUCGGGAUUUAGAAUUAAGCAAGUAAAAAAGCAAAUGUCAACUACAAGUUGACAACUUAAAUACUAAGUAACCAUGGAGACUGAUUUCUUCACUAUGAAAAGUAGUUCUUGAAAACAAUGCUGUUGGCAGCCAUAGCAUCAAUCAAGCACAAGCGAGAGAAAGAGAACAGAAAAGUUAAGAAAAAAAUAGUAUGGGGAAGUGUAUUUUUAUAGUUUAAUCACAUUUCUUCUAAAUGUAGACAUUUAUUGACUUAAUUUUUGAGGUUUAAGUGUAACUUUUUUGUGUUUUUGGGGUGUUGUCUCAGUGUUUCCAGUUUUUGAAAUAUUUCAUCAUAAAAACAGAAUCUCGAAAAAAGUUAGGUUAAGCAAAACUACCUCAUGCUUUGAUGAAAAUAGUAAGGAUUUAACACCAUGGCAUCAAAUAAUACCAAUGUUUCGGCUGUGAUGAGUGAGGUAGGCCUCAUCAUAAAAAAAUGGGAAGACGAGCAACAUCAACAUAUGUAUGAUCCUGUCCCAACUUUGACCAGGU
rnacentral:lncRNA from 1 species